CUAGUAACGGCGAGUGAAGCGGCAAAAGCUCAAAUUUGAAAUCUGGUACCUUUGGUGCCCGAGUUGUAAUUUGGAGAGUACCACUUUGGGACUGUACUUUGCCUAUGUUCCUUGGAACAGGACGUCAUGGAGGGUGAGAAUCCCGUGUGGCGAGGGUGUCAGUUCUUUGUAAAGGGUGCUCGAAGAGUCGAGUUGUUUGGGAAUGCAGCUCUAAGUGGGUGGUAAAUUCCAUCUAAAGCUAAAUACAGGCGAGAGACCGAUAGCGAACAAGUACAGUGAUGGAAAGAUGAAAAGAACUUUGAAAAGAGAGUGAAAAAGUACGUGAAAUUGUUGAAAGGGAAGGGCAUUUGAUCAGACAUGGUGUUUUGCGCCCCUUGCCUCUCGUGGGCUUGGGACUCUCGCAGCUCACUGGGCCAGCAUCGGUUUUGGCGGCCGGAAAAAACCUAGGGAAUGUGGCUCUGCGCCUCGGUGUAGAGUGUUAUAGCCCUGGGGAAUACGGCCAGCCGGGACCGAGGACUGCGAUACU
rnacentral:rRNA from 1 species